GGACAGAGCAAAAAGGUGGCCAUCUGCAAGCUGAGGAGGGAAGCUCAGGAGAAACUAUCCCUGCUGACACCUGGAUUCUGGACUUCCAGACUCCAGGACUGGCUGUUCCUUGGAUUAAUGCAAUAUUCUCGGAUAUAUUCUAAAAGAUAUAACAAAGAAAUAAAAUAUGUAUCAGCAUCUGCUAUUAUAUUCAGCAGAGCCCCAAAGAAAUAAGGCACAGAACCCAUGGAAGUGCUGAAAAAUGUAAAAGCAAAUACAAAGCAAACAUUUAAACCCUGAGCUGAAACAAGGAUUUAAGAUAAAUCUCCAGGAGUCUAAAACAAAGAAAAGAACUGAUUCAUUAUAACAAGGAAGAAAGCCCUUCUUUCUACAAUGACAGACAUGUGCAAACAAUUUGGGGAGAAGUAAUGCAAAUCAUCUAACAACUGAUCUCAUAACCAGGUUUUAGCACAGGUGGUUGCGAGAGCAAAAUAGUGCCCUCUCUUUUUGGAAGGAAGAAAACAAAAUGUAGCAUCCUGACACUUCAUCCUCCACCUAAGAAGACUUUCAGAUUUUUCUUUUACAUUAAGGUAAACAUCUCAAAGAUAAGCACAGAUUUAUCAUUUAGUGUCUCCAAAUUCCACCAUAAAAGUCCGUACAAAGAUUUAAAAGAACUUUGAUAUCUGAUGGAA